rnacentral:rRNA from 1 species
UACGAAGGGGGCUAGCGUUGCUCGGAAUCACUGGGCGUAAAGCGCACGUAGGUGGGUUUCUAAGUCAGGGGUGAAAUCCUGGAGCUCAACUCCAGAACUGCCUUUGAUACUGGGAAUCUUCGAGUCCGGGAGAGGUGGGUGGAACUGCGAGUGUAGAGGUGAAAUUCGUAGAUAUUCGCAAGAACACCAGUGGCGAAGGCGGCUCACUGGCCCGGUACUGACACUGAGGUGCGAAAGCGUGGGGAGCAAA